GAUUUAGUCAGCAAAAUAUUAAUUUUUCGAUUUAAUUGUGUGUCAAAUUUUGUACACUUUGACACACUGUGUAUUGCCAUCGGAAACAAUGCAUACGCUGAUUCAAGCCUUCUCACAUACUGCAAAGCGGAUAAUUCGUACCUAGCGCGGGUAUAAAAGAAGCCUCCAUGCAUCGAAUCGAGGCUCAGUUCACUACAGUCGAUGGGCGAAAGUCGACUCUAAAUAAGCAUCCCGGGACAAACAGCCAGCCUUGGCUUUGGAGGAAGCCGUCGCCGGGAGAGCAGCCAGCAUCGUUAAAUUGCUGGUGCGGCAAGCAGUCGACGCGGGCCAUAGGUAGAAGUCUACCCAUCGCUGGUGCCGUGUGGAGCGUUCAACGAGUGAACAUGACCAGACGUGCAGUGCAGCAGUUCCGCAACACCCUCCCACCCACCACCAACGUGUAGAAUGUUGGAAAUUGCAAAUGUUAUUGCAACCAACUACAAUAAGAGUUAUUAAAUAGUUUUCCAUCAUGUGGUGAGUCAACGAUGGGGGCGAGUGAUAUCAUACGCACUAUGCAACUGAAAACCGACCGCGAAGCGGUCGGUUUUUUUUAGUUCGGAAUUUGGAUCCGAAGUGAAAGUGCUAGCUUUGUAAAAUGUGAGGAAGUUUGAUUCGGUUAAUAAAUUUCGAAAUUAGUUUGACGUUUUGUUGACGAA